ensembl:lncRNA
CAAAAUGGCACGAGCUUGUGUCAGUCACAUCUUUGAGGAGCCUCAAUGAGUCCAAGUGGAACGCCCCCCAGCUGCUGCCUUUCACAGCAGAUGUGCAGAAGUUGCACAAUUACCUGGAUGAGAAGCAACAGCAGUACCAACAUGAUUUAGAAUCUGAGGCGUCAUCGCACAACUGGGCCAACCUGGCAAAGGUUAUCUUAUUCAACCGGCGUAGAGAAGGUGAGGUGUCCAAAAUGUCCCUCUCUGCAUUCACAUCAAGAGACACAUCAGCACCUCACGAAGACGUCAACCUCGCUCUCUCUGAGCUCGAGAAAAAACUCUGCCAUCAUUUUACCAGAAUAGAAAUGAGAGGAAAGCGAGGUAGGAAAGUUGCUAUCCUCCUAAGCCCAGUGAUGUAUGAAGCACUCAACAUGCUACAUCAAAAGAGAAAGGAGUGUGGCGUCCUCAAAGAAAACGCAUAUGUGUUUGCCAGACCAGGAGUGAUGUCGCACUACAGAGGGUCAGAUUGCAUCCGCCAGUUUGUCCAACUCUGUGAUGUCAAGAAUCCUCUCUCACUCACCUCAACAAGACUGAGGAAGCACAUGGCUACCUUAUCUAAAGUACUAAACCUUCAGGAGACAGAGCUUGACCAGCUGGCGGAUUUCAUGGGCCACGAUAUUAGAGUGCAUCGGCAGUUCUAUCGGUUACCGGAGGGCACCCUUCAACUGGUCAAGAUCAGUAAAAUUCUGAUGGCCAUGGAGCAGGGCCGCCUUUCAGACUUUCAAGGCAAGAGCCUUGAGGAGAUCAACAUUGAUCCGACUGAAACAAUCCAGUUGGACAAGCAUACGGAGUCUGAAGAUGACCUUACAGAGGAGGUGUAUGAACAAGACAUGGAAGUUUCUGAUGUCAGUCUGGCACGAAGCAUGGAGCAGAAACGAAGUGGGUCUCCACAAGAAAAUGAAGGGGAGAGUAAUUCCGAUGGAGACGACAUCCCUGUCCAAAAGAAAAAGUCCAAGACCAUUCGCAAGCCACAGAAGAAGAGGCCCUGGGAAACUGAGGAGACAAAUGCCGUUGAAAAGCACAUGAGGAACUUCAUUUUGACCUGCAAUGUUCCAAGAAAGGAAGACUGUGAUAAGUGCCUUAAAUCAGAGCCAGAAGCACUAAAAAUAGAGACUGGAAGGCACUCAAAUUCUACAUCAAAAAUAGAAUUACUGCACUAAAAGGAAAAUGUAAAACAUUUCAGUUUUCAUCAGGUACAAUAGAGAGAAAUGG